rnacentral:rRNA from 1 species
UACGUAGGGAGCAAGCGUUGUCCGGAAUCAUUGGGCGUAAAGAGCGCGCAGGCGGUCGUUCAAGUCGCGUGUGAAAGCCCCCGGCUCAACUGGGGAGGGUCACGCGAUACUGAUCGACUCGAAGGCAGGAGAGGGUAGUGGAAUUCCCGGUGUAGUGGUGAAAUGCGUAGAUAUCGGGAGGAACACCAGUGGCGAAGGCGACUACCUGGCCUGUUUCUUGACGCUGAGGCGCGAAAGCUAGGGGAGCAAACGGG